CUUGAAUAGAUAUAUCAGUCUACAUAUUACACUUCUCUUGUCCAAAAUCAACAAGCUUUCCAGCAAAUUCUUAACAAAAGUGAAUUGAUUGGACAGUCAGAAGAAAUUCAGAUGUUAUAGUCCAAUAUUGUUAAGCUGAUACAACACAAGUUCACCUCAUCUAAAAUAUCAGCAAGACACAUGUAUACAGGAUCAUCAAUCGGAGCUUCGUUGAUACGUGUGAGAGUUCGAGUUAGCUAUGGAGCAAUCGAAGAAAACCUACAGAAAAAGAACGUGGGUACUUGACAAUGGAUGCUCCAAACAUAUGUGCAGAAAGAAAGAAAGUUCAAAACUAUAAAAGAAAAUAGAUGGGGGGAUGUGUCAGAUUUGGAGACAAUGCUAAAAUGGAAUUAACUAGAGUCGGGAAUAUUACACUCAACUCAUCAUGCGAUAUAAUCGAAGUGUAUUUAGUUGAGAAACUCAAACAUAACCUUCUCAACGUUAGUAAACUUGUGAUGUUGGAUUUCAAGUUACUUUCAAUACAACCAGCUCAUCAUCAAACAUCCUCAGAAGAA